AUGCUUGUUUAAUGUGUUGUGGUUACAUGGUUGUUGUCUUGCUUGUUCAUGCGCAUUGUUGAGGCUGGUUUCCUUUGUUGAUGCGGCUGGCCAUUCAUUGGGUUGCUUAAGCUUGCGUGAGGUUGGUGGCCAUUUGUGUUGAUGGUGUUACGCCAUAUUGAAGCUUGUUGCUGCCUUGUGAUUGUCUUGGCUUGUUAUGCGCAUGAUAUUGAAGCUUGCUUGCGUGGGAUUGUUGCCUUGCCGUGAAUGGAUUCUCGUGGCUGUUUGAGACGCAUGGUAUAGAGGUUAGUAACUUGUGCUUUCCUUGUGUGUCCUUGCCGUGAGGUUUGUAGCUUGUGGUAACUUGUGGUUACCGUGAGGAAGUUUGCCCAUUUGUGGUUAUUAUGGUGUAUGGCGCAUUAAAGGUUGCUACUUGUCAUUGAAGUUAGUUGCUUCUUAUUUCUUGCUUGCGUGAAGUUGAGUUUUACUUGGGUAACUUGUGGUUGCCGUGAGUAUUUAUUGUUGCUUGUUACUUGUGAAAGUGUUUCGGCCAUUUUAGUUCCUUAUGAGAAUUAUUGCCGUGAGACUCCUUGGUGGUUGAGGUUGUAGUUGGCAGCCGUGAGAAUUAUUGUUGUUGUGGCUAUUUGUUAUUGCCGUGAGUAUUAUUGGUGCUUGUGGUAUUGAGGUUCGGCUCAUUGGUGAGUUUGGUUAUAAUUGCCGUGGGACACUUUGUGAGGUGGGGUUGUUGCCGUGAGAUUCACAUUGAGUUCCUUGGGUGACUUGCCUUUGAGUGGUAACCGUGACCAUCCUUGGAACACUUAGAGUUUGGGAUAGUUGCCGUGAGGUUCAUUGGGACUUUGGGUGUCUUGUGAACGUGAGGUUCUUGGAGCAUCCUAGUGUGGCUGGUUUGUGGCCGUGAACUUUGGGCAGCUUGGUGGUUGGGUUUGUUGUCGUGAGCAUCCGUGAGAACUCUUGGUGUUUGGGUUGCCGUGAGGUUCCUUGACUUUUGGAACUUGCUUGUGGAUUGGUUGCCGUGAAUCUUGGUGUGAGAUUGGUAACCGUGUGAUCCGUGGGAC
rnacentral:misc_RNA from 1 species